rnacentral:rRNA from 1 species
UACGUAGGGGGCAAGCGUUGUCCGGAUUUAUUGGGCGUAAAGAGCGUGUAGGCGGCCUUACAGGUCAGCUGUGAAAACUCGAGGCUCAACCUCGAGACGUCGGUUGAAACCGUAUGGCUAGAGUCCGGAAGAGGAGAGUGGAAUUCCUGGUGUAGCGGUGAAAUGCGCAGAUAUCAGGAGGAACACCUAUUGCGAAGGCAGCUCGCUGGGACGUAACUGACGCUGAGACGCGAAAGCGUGGGGAGCAAACAGG